rnacentral:lncRNA from 1 species
UAGCUUUGAUUCUUCUUCAAAUUAAGAAUAAAUCCUCAGUUCUUCUCAAGAACUUAAGGAUGUUUUUACAGCAAUCCAGUGCUCUUAGCCUGGAUACAACUGAUAUCUACUCGUGACAUUCACAGUAUUAACUAUAUCAGUUUAAAUAUAUUACAUGGCAUACAUCUAUGCCUAAGAGAGUAGCAGACCCCUCUUUGAGAUUUCUAUGCUGAAUC